GCAUGGCGGAGAGCUUACACAUGCAGUCGCACGAUGAUCCCAGCUUGCUGGGGGAUUAGUGGCGAACGGGUGAGUAACACGUGAGUAACCUGCCCUUAACUCUGGGAUAAGCCUGGGAAACUGGGUCUAAUACCGGAUAUGACUCCUCCUCGCAUGGUGGGGGGUGGAAAGCUUUUUGUGGUUUUGGAUGGACUCGCGGCCUAUCAGCUUGUUGGUGAGGUAAUGGCUCACCAAGGCGACGACGGGUAGCCGGCCUGAGAGGGUGACCGGCCACACUGGGACUGAGACACGGCCCAGACUCCUACGGGAGGCAGCAGUGGGGAAUAUUGCACAAUGGGCGCAAGCCUGAUGCAGCGACGCCGCGUGAGGGAUGACGGCCUUCGGGUUGUAAACCUCUUUCAGUAGGGAAGAAGCGAAAGUGACGGUACCUGCAGAAGAAGCGCCGGCUAACUACGUGCCAGCAGCCGCGGUAAUACGUAGGGCGCAAGCGUUAUCCGGAAUUAUUGGGCGUAAAGAGCUCGUAGGCGGUUUGUCGCGUCUGCCGUGAAAGUCCGGGGCUCAACUCCGGAUCUGCGGUGGGUACGGGCAGACUAGAGUGAUGUAGGGGAGACUGGAAUUCCUGGUGUAGCGGUGAAAUGCGCAGAUAUCAGGAGGAACACCGAUGGCGAAGGCAGGUCUCUGGGCAUUAACUGACGCUGAGGAGCGAAAGCAUGGGGAGCGAACAGGAUUAGAUACCCUGGUAGUCCAUGCCGUAAACGUUGGGCACUAGGUGUGGGGGACAUUCCACGUUUUCCGCGCCGUAGCUAACGCAUUAAGUGCCCCGCCUGGGGAGUACGGCCGCAAGGCUAAAACUCAAGGAAUUGACGGGGGCCCGCACAAGCGGCGGAGCAUGCGGAUUAAUUUCGAUGCAACGCGAAGAACCUUACCAAGGCUUGACAUGGGCCGGAUCGCCGCAGAAAUGUGGUUUCCCCUUUGGGGCGGGUUCACAGGUGGUGCAUGGUUGUCGUCAGCUCGUGUCGUGAGAUGUUGGGUUAAGUCCCGCAACGAGCGCAAUCCUCGUUCAUGUUGCCAGCGCGUAAUUGACGGGAACUCAUGAGGAGACCUGCUGGGGGGUCAACUCGAAGGAAGUUGGACUGACGUCAAAUCAUCAUG
rnacentral:rRNA from 1 species